UAAGAUGGGUCCUCUCUUCGUAGGCUAAUGCAUUGGCCCUUUUUUGACCCGUUUUGGGGCGAAAACAAAAACUGACUCCCGGGCAUAUUUUUUUCGGCCUUUAUGGGCAAAGAACUUUAAUACCGCUCAAAAUGAGGCCACCCAGUAGUUAGGUGUGAAUUUUCGAGACCUCUGGCAUCGUUCUAAGAUGGGUCCUCUCUUCGUAGGCUAAUGCAUUGGCCCUUUUUUGACCCGUUUUGGGGCGAAAACAAAAACUGACUCCCGGGCAUAUUUUUUUCGGCCUUUAUGGGCAAAGAACUUUAAUACCGCUCAAAAUGAGGCCACCCAGUAGUUAGGUGUGAAUUUUCGAGACCUUUGGCAUCGUUCUAAGAUGGGUCCUCUCUUCGUAGGCUAAUGCAUUGGCCCUUUUUUGACCCGUUUUGGGGCGAAAACAAAAAACUGACUCCCGGCAUAUUUUUUUCGGCCUUUAUGGGCAAAGAACUUUAGUACCCGCUCAAAAUGAGGCCACCCAGUAGUUAGGUGUGAAUUUUCGAGACCUUUGGCAUCGUUCUAAGAUGGGUCCUCUCUUCGUAGGCUAAUGCAUUGGCCCUUUUUUGACCCCUUUUUGGGGCGAAAACAAAAACUGACUCCCGAGCAUAUUUUUUUCGGCCUUUAUGGGCAGAGAACUUUAGUACCGCUCAAAAUGAGGCCACCCAGUAGUUAGGUGUGAAUUUUCGAGACCUUUGGCAUCGUUCUAAGAUGGGUCCUCUCUUCGUAGGCUAAUGCAUUGGCCCUUUUUUGACCCGUUUUGGGGCGAAAACAAAAACUGACUCCCGGGCAUAUUUUUUUCGGCCUUUAUGGGCAAAGAACUUUAGUACCGCUCAAAAUGAGGCCACCCAGUAGUUAGGUGUGAAUUUUCGAGACCUUUGGCAUCGUUCUAAGAUGGGUCCUCUCUUCGUAGGCUAAUGCAUUGGCCCUUUUUUGACCACCGUUUUGGGGCGAAAAACAAAAACUGACUCCCGGGCAUAUUUUUUUCGGCCUUUAUGGGCAAAGAACUUUAGUACCGCUCAAAAUGAGGCCACCCAGUAGUUAGGUGUGAAUUUUCGAGACCUUUGGCACCGUUCUAAGAUGGGUCCUCUCUUCGUAGGCUAAUGCAUUGGCCCUUUUUUGACCCGUUUUGGGGCGAAAACAAAAACUGACUCCCGGGCAUAUUUUUUUCGGCCUUUAUGGGCAAAGAACUUUAAGUACCGCUCAAAAUGAGGCCACCCAGUAGUUAGGUGUGAAUUUUCGAGACCUUUGGCAUCGUUCUAAGAUGGGUCCUCUCUUCGUAGGCUAAUGCAUUGGCCCUUUUUUGACCCGUUUUGGGGCGAAAACAAAAACUGACUCCCGGGCAUAUUUUUUUCGGCCUUUAUGGGCAGAGAACUUUAGUACCGCUCAAAAUGAGGCCACCCAGUAGUUAGGUGUGAAUUUUCGAGACCUUUGGCAUCGUUCUAAGAUGGGUCCUCUCUUCGUAGGCUAAUGCAUUGGCCUUUUUUGACCCGUUUUGGGGCGAAAACAAAAACUGACUCCCGGGCAUAUUUUUUUCGGCCUUUAUGGGCAAAGAACUUUAGUACCGCUCAAAAUGAGGCCACCCAGUAGUUAGGUGUGAAUUUUCGAGACCUUUGGCACCGUUCUAAGAUGGGUCCUCUCUUCGUAGGCUAAUGCAUUGGCCCUUUUUGACCCGUUUUGGGGCGAAAACAAAAACUGACUCCCGGGCAUAUUUUUUUCGGCCUUUAUGGGCAAAGAACUUUAGUACCGCUCAAAAUGAGGCCACCCAGUAGUUAGGUGUGAAUUUUCGAGACCUUUGGCACCGUUCUAAGAUGGGUCCUCUCUUCGUAGGCUAAUGCAUUGGCCCUUUUUUGACCCGUUUUGGGGCGAAAACAAAAACUGACUCCCGGGCAUAUUUUUUUCGGCCUUUAUGGGCAAAGAACUUUAGUACCGCUCAAAAUGAGGCCACCCAGUAGUUAGGUGUGAAUUUUCGAGACCUUUGGCAUCGUUCUAAGAUGGGUCCUCUCUUCGUAGGCUAAUGCAUUGGCCCUUUUUUGACCCGUUUUGGGGCGAAAACAAAAACUGACUCCCGGGCAUAUUUUUUUCGGCCUUUAUGGGCAGAGAACUUUAGUACCGCUCAAAAUGAGGCCACCCAGUAGUUAGGUGUGAAUUUUCGAGACCUUUGGCAUCGUUCUAAGAUGGGUCCUCUCUUCGUAGGCUAAUGCAUUGGCCCUUUUUUGACCCGUUUUGGGGCGAAAACAAAAACUGACUCCCGGGCAUAUUUUUUUCGGCCUUUAUGGGCAGAGAACUUUAGUACCGCUCAAAAUGAGGCCACCCAGUAGUUAGGUGUGAAUUUUCGAGACCUUUGGCAUCGUUCUAAGAUGGGUCCUCUCUUCGUAGGCUAAUGCAUUGGCCCUUUUUUGACCCCUUUUUGGGGCGAAAACAAAAACUGACUCCCGAGCAUAUUUUUUUCGGCCUUUAUGGGCA
rnacentral:lncRNA from 1 species